rnacentral:rRNA from 1 species
GCGGUAAUACAGAGGGUGCAAGCGUUAAUCGGAAUUACUGGGCGUAAAGCGCGCGUAGGUGGUUUGUUAAGUUGGAUGUGAAAUCCCCGGGCUCAACCUGGGAACUGCAUUCAAAACUGACUGACUAGAGUAUGGUAGAGGGUGGUGGAAUUUCCUGUGUAGCGGUGAAAUGCGUAGAUAUAGGAAGGAACACCAGUGGCGAAGGCGACCACCUGGACUGAUACUGACACUGAGGUGCGAAAGCGUGGGGAGCAAACAGGAUUA